rnacentral:tRNA from 1 species
AGGUGAGUAAGUUAAAUUAAACUAUGGGGUUCAUGUCCCCACAAUAUGAGUUAUCAUCUCACUGA